rnacentral:lncRNA from 1 species
GACGUCAAUCUAAAAAAGGUUGUUUUGCACAAAAAAUCAAGACGUCAAUCUAAUCAACAUUUCGUUCUGUGUUGUUUUAUUGGUUCUAUCAUUAUUUAAAGCGUUUUCAUGUUAGUAUACAAAAGCACACCAAAUAGCCAUCAAAGUAUAGAUUAUUGUAAAUUUCAGAUAUUUUAUUAAUUAUGUAGUAGUCAUAACUCAUAAGCUUUUAAUAUGCAGAUGCAUGGAUUUAGAGAUGUAUGUGCCCAUAUUUUUCAUGUUUAUCAUAUAUAAAAUUUAUAAUCGUGUAUAGACA